GGGUUAUCACGCCUACUGACUUUAGGUCCUCAGCCCACUGAAGCCAAAGACCUACUGGGAAAGGGUCACGGGGUGGCAGGGGGUGGGAAGGGAUGAGACAACAUGCAAGAGCAAUCUGCAGUGCAACCACCACUGCAAAUAUAGGAGAGUUUGAUCCUUUCAGACCAAUGAAAAAGAAAGAGUUGGAAAGAGUCUUGGGUUUCUGUAAAAGUACUUAAAACGCCUUCAGACCGGCCUACCUUUGAGAGCGUUUUUUUUUCUUCUUAAUAUCGGCUAGGCAGGGUGUGACUAUUACGGAGAUCUGUGAAUCUGGCUGAAAAUUCUGACGGAAACAUCUGUCAACAUGCAGACAGGAAAUAAUCCAGGCAGGGUGUGACUAUUACGGAGAUCUGUGAAUCUGGCUGAAAAUUCUGACGGAAACAUCUGUCAACAUGCAGACAGGGGUGUUGUACAGUCAGUCAAUCACAUUGGAAAUGUACCUUUUCUUCCCAUUCCUGGCAGGCUUCAGAGAUCCAUCAUCCAAGAAAUUUACAGGACCGGUCCAAUUUCCUGUCUCGUCUCCUUUGAGUCGGCUAAACUGUUGCGCACUAGUAAGAAAAUUAGGCAGUUUAUUUGGGAUUUAUUGUGCUUUAAUUACCUGAGAACUAACAGUCAGUCAGUCAGUCAAACACACACACACACACACACACACACACUUUUAUACACAAUGCACAAACACACACAGAGACACACCACAGCAUACAGAGGGAUCAGCAUUUGGCUUUAGUAAACCAAAUCAAACUAAGCCAAACAUAGUUAGAAUGAACCUAGAUAAUAACACAAUGGUUGAUAACAAAUCUAGAGCAUAAAACGGACAAUGAAACUCAGUUACACAUUUGUCAUAAAUAAAACACCCGUAAAAAAAAUCUAAAUUAGUUGGGGAUAAAAAAGAAGAGGGGGCAAAUAAAUAAUGGACAAAUGUGCCUUGCAUGUCAAAUAUUCAAUCUUACCAAAGAAUGAUGAUAGGCUACAUUGAGAGCGAGAACAAUUAAACAAGCAAAAACAGCAGCUAAAAAUCUGAAGGGGACAAAUAAGUUCAAGCUCAGACACAGCUGAAUGACGAAGUGUAUAUGGGUCUGGCAAUCUGGUGUGGUUGGCACAGAUACCUCAAAUCUGAGAAUGGCAUGCAAAGCAGACACACACUUCUAUCUCUGCUGCAGAGCAGUGGGACAGAAAACACUUGGUUUGAAAACAGUGUGUAAAUAUGCUACGUCUGUUUAUGAGAUGAAAUAAAGAUGCUUCACUUAAUCCAUUCAUUGUGGUCAAACAGGUCAAAUCUCAGUUGUUGUCUCACUAAAACCCCUAAUCAUUCACCAUUUUAGGGGGUUUUGCCCAAUAUGCAGCACAUCUUAGUUCGGUAGAUUAGCCUAUAGGGUAUUAUUGCACAUUACGCUCAUGCACAAUCUAAAAACCACAACACAUUCUUUAAAUCAGAACCAAAUGAUUAUGGUUAACGGGUUACAUAGAGAACAGACAAACUGAGAGGAUACUUAACGGUUUAC